rnacentral:rRNA from 1 species
CACGUAGGGUGCGAGCGUUGUCCGGAAUUAUUGGGUGUAAAGAGCUCGUAGGCGGUGUGUCGCGUCGGCCGUGAAAACCUGCAGCUUAACUGUGGGCGUGCGGUCGAUACGGGCAUCACUGGAGUUCGGCAGGGGAGACUGGAAUUCCUGGUGUAGCGGUGAAAUGCGCAGAUAUCAGGAGGAACACCGGUGGCGAAGGCGGGUCUCUGGGCCGAUACUGACGCUGAGGAGCGAAAGCGUGGGGAGCGAACAGG